AUACGAAGGGUGCAAGCGUUACUCGGAAUUACUGGGCGUAAAGCGUGCGUAGGUGGUUGUUUAAGUCUGUCGUGAAAGCCCUGGGCUCAACCUGGGAAUGGCGAUGGAAACUGGGCGACUAGAGUGUGGCAGAGGGUAGUGGAAUUCCUGGUGUAGCAGUGAAAUGCGUAGAGAUCAGGAGGAACACCCGUGGCGAAGGCGACUGCCUGGGCCAACACUGACACUGAGGCACGAAAGCGUGGGGAGCAAACAGGAUUAGAUACCCUGGUAGUCCACGCCCUAAACGAUGCGAACUGGAUGUUGGGUGCAAUUUGGCACGCAGUAUCGAAGCUAACGCGUUAAGUUCGCCGCCUGGGGAGUACGGUCGCAAGACUGAAACUCAAAGGAAUUGACGGGG
rnacentral:rRNA from 1 species